UACGUAGGGUGCAAGCGUUAAUCGGAAUUACUGGGCGUAAAGCGUGCGCAGGCGGUUAUGCAAGACAGAUGUGAAAUCCCCAGGCUCAACCUGGGAACUGCAUUUGUGACUGCAUGGCUAGAGUACGGUAGAGGGGGAUGGAAUUCCGCGUGUAGCAGUGAAAUGCGUAGAUAUGCGGAGGAACACCGAUGGCGAAGGCAAUCCCCUGGACCUGUACUGACGCUCAUGCACGAAAGCGUGGGGAGCAAACGGG
rnacentral:rRNA from 1 species